CCCGCCGCGGGGCCCUCAGGUACGCGAUUCACCUCAGAGGCCCGCGGGGCUGCAGCCAGGAUUCUGCCCUGUUUAGGCCGCGGGGACGCCUGGCGUCGAGGCGGCCCUGAGGGGACUCGCUUGUUCCAGGCCGCGAGGAGCUGUGAGGUGGGGAAGAAGCCUCGGGAAGUCCUUCAAUCGCAGAAGGAAGCACCGCUGGCACAGAGCCAUCUGAAAACAGUUGCCCAUUCUGGCCGCUCCGCUGCGGGACUGCGAACAGCUUGGCUCCAGCAUCACCACGUGGGAAGUUGGAAGAAUAGUUCAGGGAGCACCCAAGUACUCAACUCCCAGGUUGAAUGGCGACCACGAAGGACAAACUUCACUGGCUUGAUUUUGCUUGCUGUGAGGCUGCAGCAGCUGAAAUCCUGGGAUCUCUGACAGGGCCAGCCCAAGGUAAGAAUUCUUACCAUAUUUGUCUCCCAGUUCUGUUUGCAGGGACUGGUUAAAACAAGAGUGAUGAGUGAACUUUUCUUUUUCUGAAUGUAGAUUAGCAGGAGAAAAUAUCUGUGGAACUAGUUCCUUUGGUACAGUGACUCUGGUAAAGAAUUGAUUGUGGAUAACCGAUCAAAGAAUUCACCCAAGGCAGAACAGAGGGAGAUAGACAUUUACUGAAUUCACUGCAAGGGAGCAGUGGGCAGGACAGCAAAGGAGAGACUGCCCAGAGGCAGUGAUAGGGGGUAAUAAUUAAGAGGGGGAGUAAGGAGGUAUGGGAAUGUAUGGAAUUUUCCUUAUUUGGAGACUGUGCCUGGUUAUAAGUAGCCUAUUGGUCUGCUAGGACUUGCAGAUAUUUUGAGGUGGGUUGCCUAACUAAUAAGCCUGUUCACAUUCAUUCCAGUGGUCACUGUGGACUCUUUUACCUUAUUCAGGUUUCUAUUACUCAAACCCUGCUCCGAAAAGUAGCCUCUACAUUGGUAAUGAGUACUUUUGUUUUUUAUUGAUCCUUUCCAUCCCAGAGAUAGUCACUAUUUUUCUUUUUCUCUCUGUCUAUUGUGUUGUUGUCUUGCUCUGUGUCCUGAGAGUGUGGCUUUGUGACCACUGAGAAUAUUCUGACUGGUCUCCCAGUCAGAAGGUGCAUUUAUUGGUGUGCAUUUUGGUGGCCAGUUGACGGGGAUUCUGAGAUACAAAGUCACAAGCAGUAUUCUCUUUGUCCAACUGUGCCAGCUCUCAGGGAGUUUGUGAUAGGAGGUCCUGGUCCAUAAGGGACUUUUGCCAUCCCAACCUCCAUUGUUUGGUUAGUGCUGAAAAAAAUCCCAUCACUGUGGCAUCUUCCUGCUGUCACAGAUUAGUGGGUCUGUAUCUGGAGAUAUCUCAUGUUCUUGUGGGAAACCAGAAAUAUAUUCAUCAUACCCUUCUUACCACCUGUAAAA
rnacentral:lncRNA from 1 species